GGAAGACGGCCUUCGGGUUGUAAACCUCUUUCAGUUGGGACGAAGGUCGGGUGGUUAAUAGCUAUUCCGACUGACGGUACCUUCACAAGAAGCCCCGGCUAACUACGUGCCAGCAGCCGCGGUAAUACGUAGGGAGCAAGCGUUGUCCGGAAUCAUUGGGCGUAAAGCGCGCGUAGGUGGCCACAUAAGUCCGUUGUGAAAGUCAAAGGCUCAACCUUUGAAAGCCGAUGGAUACUGUGUGGCUAGAGUACGGAAGAGGCGAGUGGAAUUCCUGGUGUAGCGGUGGAAUGCGCAGAUAUCAGGAGGAACACCAAUAGCGAAGGCAGCUCGCUGGGACGUUACUGACACUGAGGCGCGAAAGCGUGGGGAGCGAACAGGAUUAGAUACCCUGGUAGUCCACGCCGUAAACGAUGGGUACUAGGUGUGGGAGGUGUCGACUCCCUCCGUGCCGAAGCUAACGCAUUAAGUGCCCCGCCUGGGGAGUACGGCCGCAAGGCUA
rnacentral:rRNA from 1 species